AAGCAUGAAAAGGCGAAAAGGUGUAAAAUUAGAAUAAGGGAACUAUUUUAGACUAUGGAAUCGGAAUGGAAUUUAUUGAUUCCGAUAGUUGCUGUUUGUUUUAUAGGAAUCAGAUUCUGAUUCUCAUUUCACUCCGGAAUGGAAAUGAAUAAAUCCAUUUAUGUUCCAAUUCAGUUUUGAAUCCCGGAUUGACUCAUUCCAAAAUAAAUUAUUCAAAAUUCUCUUUCAUAAGCAUCUACCUCCUCUCCCUUUAUCACUUUUCUCUCUCUUAAUCAAAACCAUCUCUAAAAAAUUUUAAAAUUUCAUUUCGAUUUUCAUUCAAUAAUGAACCAAACAUUUUAGAAUGAUUUGUCACUCCAUUUUCCAUUUCAAAGCAAUUCAAUUUCAUUUCUCAUUUCUAUUCUAAUCAUGAGCCAAACAUGCCCUAAAAGGUUGGAGGGUCCAUUUCAAAAUGGCGUAUCUUUGCACGGAUGCAAAAUGCACAUUAAAUUGGUGAGCAAGAGUGCACAUGGUUAUCGACUAUAUCUGGCACAGUUGGUUAAGGGCUUAAUGAUAGUGCCCGAUAUAUCAAAUUAGAAAUUCUGAUGCCUUAUAUUUCAAACUAAAUAUAUUUUUUUAAAAAAUAAGCAAAACAUAUAGC
rnacentral:lncRNA from 1 species